GGGCAAUUAGCUCAGUUGGUAGAGCAUCUGACUUUUAAUCAGAGGGUCGCAGGUUCGAAUCCUGCAUUGCCCACCA
rnacentral:tRNA from 1 species